CUGAGGUCGUGGUUUUGGGCCGGGGUGUCAGGAUUUCCGCUUGCGCUUUCUUGCUGUUGUUUUGGUUUGGUUUAGGUUUUGUUUUUACCUGCAGAAGGUUCUGCAGGGGCGCGGGUGCUGUGAUGGCACCGCACCGGCCCCGCGCGGGUCCCAGGCGAGGACCAACCUUUACCUGGAGGCGGUGGAAGGAAAACAUAAAGAAAGAGACGUAAGGAGGUAGCUCAAAGCGCGGUCGAGAUUUGGGGAAAGGCAAAAAGCGACAAGGCCCCAGCGAGAUUUGAACUCGCGACCCCUGGUUUACAAGACCAGUGCUCUAACCCCUGAGCUAUGGAGCCCGACACGCUGACUGUUGCUGCCACAGGGGUAGUUGUUACUGUUGUCACGGCGCAGCCGCAGCUCUCGGGAUUAACUGGCAACCGUCAGUGCGGCUGAGCUGGCCCUCGCAGAGAGCAGGCGGGCAGAGACUGCCGGCUAGGCGUAGGAAAGGUCUGCGGCGCGGCCUGGCGGAGCCUGGGAAAAGAGCCUCGCUCAACUGAGGACAGACCUGAGCCUCGGGCGAGCGAGGCAGGGUUGAAGCGAAAGGCGCAGUAACCGCUUUCUUGUGCACCAGAAGAGGAGUCCAGACCGCACAGCUACAGAGGUCGAGUUUCUGGAAAGUGGUUGGAUCAUGAGGUGCUGUAUUCAUCAGUGGAUUCAUGGUGGAAUAUCCAGGCAGUAGGUGGGAGCUGGCUGGAUGUGGGACCUAGCAGCAGAACCUAGAAGGAUGAACUCCUGUCCUUUGCACCUCCCUUCUCUCUGCUUCAUGGAUACCAUGACCUGAGCAGUUUUUCUUCUUUGGGCACUUUCACCACAUAGUGCCUGCGUUGGAGCCAGCCAAAUAGGGACAGAAGCCAUUGACAUUGAGCCGAAAUAAACCUGUCCUUUAAAUUGUGGUUGUCAAGUAUUUUGUUUUAGUGAUGGGAAAGUAACUAAUACAUUUGGCAAAUACUUAACAAAAAAUCAACAGUAGCAUAUGACGGGUUGACUUAGAGCUAUUUGCAUCACCUAUACCCUAUGUACCUACUCAUAAAUGCCCUGUCUAAAAUCCACAUGUCCCUCACUCCAAAUGUCAGGUAUAAAUAUAUGCACCUUGGGGCAGGGGAUUUAGCUCAGUGGCAUGAGCACCUGCCUGGCAAGCCUGAGGUUGUGAGUUUGAUCCUCAGUACACACACACACAAAACAAGCAUAUGUAUCUCAUAUAUAUGAACACAGAGCAGAUGCUCAGUCAUUAUUAGUAGAAACCCUUGCUCAGCUUGUCCUUUUGUAACCAGACCAGAGGAGAUGACAAGAGUCAAGCCAUCUAUAAAGAUGAGUUCACAAUCUGUAUUUCCAUCUCCUGGUGUCCCUUUCCAGGGAGCAGCAAGCUGGGUACAACACGCUAUCACCCUUCCAAAAGCCCAGGCAUCCAGAAGCUGGGAAACAUCUGCCAGGAGAAUGAAGUCGGCCCUCUGAACACCCUCCUGGACACAGGCUGAGCAGGCCUUGGCAACAGGAAACUACUGUUAGCAUGUGUUCAGCAAGUUCCAAAAAGGCUGUUGGGAGCAUGUGUACGGUCUGUGCAUUUCUGUGCCAGUAUGAGUUGCAUGUGUAAAAUUAUCUGUGCUGACAUGUGUUUCAAAAUUCUAGAAGCUUUGAUUUCCUCACUCAAAGGAGACUGUCUUCUGAUACUGGAAAAUAGGUCAGGUAUCUGUGAUAACACAUGUCUGUUGUACUGUGGUCAGGAAUGCACAGUCCCUCUGCAUCAUCAGGUUGAGGCGUGUUGGACAGUAGUAAUGCCCAUAAGCUUUGUCCUCACCUUUCCCCUCAAGGGCCUCCUAGUUCUAACCAGACUGAACUCCCAAGCUGGGAGGAUAGUAUGCGUUCCUAAGUAGGUAGUCAGGUAUAAGUCAGCUACAGCCAGAAA